UGCAUGUCUAAGCACAUGCCGAACCAUAAGGCGAAACCGCGAAUGGCUCAUUAAAUCAGUUGUGGUUCCUUAGAUCGUACCACGCUAUUUGGAUAACUGUGGUAAUUCUAGAGCUAAUACAUGCAGCAGAGCUCCGAUCCCAGUGUGACGAGCGCUUUUAUUAGACCAAGACCGCCCGCGUCCGCCGAAAGGUGGUCGCGGAGAAAGACGGUGACUCUGAAUAACUUUGGGCAGAUCGCCCGGGCUCGACCCGGCGACGUAUCUUUCAAGUGUCUGCCUUAUCAACUGUCGAUGGUAGGUCACGUGCCUACCAUGGUCGUAACGGGUGACGGGGAAUCAGGGUUCGAUUCCGGAGAGGGAGCCUGAGAAACGGCUACCACAUCCAAGGAAGGCAGCAGGCGCGCAAAUUACCCACUCCCGGCCCGGGGAGGUAGUGACGAAAAAUAACGAUACGGGACUCUUUUGAGACCCCGUAAUCGGAAUGAGUAGAGCAUAAAUCCUUCGUGCGAGGAUCGAUUGGAGGGCAAGUCUGGUGCCAGCAGCUGCGGUAAUUCCAGCUCCAAUAGCGUAUAUUAAAGUUGUUGCGGUUAAAAAGCUCGUAGUUGGAUCUCAGGCCGUGCCGGGCGGCCCGCCCCUCGGGCGGUGUUCGCACGCGCCGGUCAUAGAAGCCGGUUACCCCUCGUGAUCUUGAUCGGUCGCGUGGGGCGACCGGCACGUUUACUUUGAAAAAAUUAGAGUGCUCAGAGCAGGCGAGACGCCUGGAUAAUGGUGCAUGGAAUAAUGGAAUAGGACCUCGGUUCUAUUGAGUUGGUUUUCUGAACCGGAGGUGAUGAUGAAGAGGAACAGUCGGGGGCAUUCGUAUUGCGACGCUAGAGGUGAAAUUCUUGGACCGUCGCAAGACGAACGACUGCGAAAGCAUUUGCCAAGAAUGUUUCCAUUAAUCAAGAACGAAAGUCAGAGGUUCGAAGGCGAUCAGAUACCGCCCUAGUUCUGACCGUAAACGAUGCCGACCAGCGAUCCGCCCGAGUUCCUCAAAUGACCGGGCGGGCAGCUUCCGGGAAACCAAAGUUUUUGGGUUCCGGGGGAAGUAUGGUUGCAAAGCUGAAACUUAAAGGAAUUGACGGAAGGGCACCACCAGGAAUGGAGCCUGCGGCUCAAUUUGACUCAACACGGGAAAACUCACCCGGCCCGGACACCGAAAGGAUUGACAGAAUAAGAGAUCUUUCUUGAUUCGGUGGGUGGUGGUGCAUGGCCGUUCCUAGUUGGUGGAGCGAUUUGUCUGGUUAAUUCCGAUAACGAACGAGACCCCAGCCUAUUAAAUAGGCGUUCGGACCGUCGAGUCCGACGUUCUUCUUAGAGGGACAAGCGGCACCCUAGCCGUGCGAAACGGGGCGAUAACAGGUCAGUGAUGCCCUUAGAUGUCCGGGGCCGCACGCGCGCUACAAUGAAGGAGUCAGCGUGCGGUCUCCCGGUCCGGAAGGACCGGGUAAUCAUCGGAAACUCCUUCGUGCUGGGGACAGGGGCUUGUAAUUGUUCCCCUCGAACGAGGAAUUCCAAGUAAUCGCGAGUCAUUAUCUCGCAGUGAUUACGUCCCUGCCCUUUGUACACACCGCCCGUCGCUACUUCCGAUCGAACGAAUUAGUGAGGUCCUUGGACCGGCGCUCCCGGCCUUCCAAUGAAAGUCGGUCCGGCGAGCUCGCCGGAAAGCCGACCGAACUUGGUCGUUUAGAGGAAGUAAA
rnacentral:rRNA from 1 species